AUUGAACGCUGGCGGAAUGCUUUACACAUGCAAGUCGAACGGCAGCACGGGGCAACCUGGUGGCGAGUGGCGAACGGGUGAGUAAUACAUCGGAACGUGCCCAAUCGUGGGGGAUAACGUAGCGAAAGUUACGCUAAUACCGCAUACGAUCUACGGAUGAAAGCGGGGGAUCGCAAGACCUCGCGCGAGUGGAGCGGCCGAUGUCAGAUUAGGUAGUUGGUGGGGUAAAGGCUCACCAAGCCAACGAUCUGUAGCUGGUCUGAGAGGACGACCAGCCACACUGGAACUGAGACACGGUCCAGACUCCUACGGGAGGCAGCAGUGGGGAAUUUUGGACAAUGGGCGCAAGCCUGAUCCAGCCAUUCCGCGUGCAGGAUGAAGGCCUUCGGUUGUAACUGCUUUGUACGGUACGAACGGCGAGCUCUAUACAGUUGCUAAUGACGGUACCGUAAGAAUAAG
rnacentral:rRNA from 1 species